AAUUUGAUGCUUUUUUAUAUGUUUUCUACUACUGUGCUUGUCUACCUGCUAAUUUAUUAGACAAAUCCUGACUGUGGCCUCGGCAGGAUUUUCUUGGCUGAUCAUAUGCAUCCCGUCUACUUGCCCUCUAUAACCUCUUGUUUUUCCCUAUUGAUGCCUUGGUUUAAUUUCUUUCAACACUUUGCAUAAAACAUCGUACAUU
rnacentral:lncRNA from 1 species